rnacentral:lncRNA from 1 species
UUGAUAACCCAGUAUAUAUUAUAAGAUUAUAACAACAUAGAGUAAAGACCUAACAUACUUAUUAUAUUCUUUGGUUUUCUGGUGAAGGACAUGUAGCCCUAACGGAAUUGAGCACCAGAGUAGGUCUGCCCGAAGGACCAGCUAGGAGGAGCAACAUUGUAGGACACCACACUGCGACCAUCACUAGUAGUGACCUUAAAUGAAAGGGCUUGACCAUUGAGAUAAUUGUUGCUUUGCCAAUUUUGCCCCCAGUUUCUUGACAUCGACUGCCAACCGGUUCUGGACC